rnacentral:pre_miRNA from 1 species
UUGGCAUGUUCUAUCGUCCGGAAUUACUUGUCGCAAAAAUGGAUGUAUGUAAAAGUAUUUUAGUUCUAGAUACAUCCAUUUUUAUUCAUUUCCGUGACAAGUAAUUCUGGAUGGGGGAGUGCUAG